AGGCUGUUCAUCUGCUCUGUGUGUGGGAAGGGAUUCACCAAGUCCUCCAACUUGGUGAUACACCAGAGAAUUCACACUGGGGAGAGACCGUUCACUUGCUCAGUGUGUGGAAAAGGGUUCACUGAGGCAGCUAAUGAGUGGAGGCACCAGAUGUGGGCGUCUCUGGCUGGGCCAGCAUUUAUUACCCAUCUCUAAUUGCCCUUGAGAAGGUGGCAGUAAGCGACUUUCUUGAACCACCGCAGUCUAUGUGUAAACCAAUUGUCUGAGUAAAGGUUACACAGGAUGUCCUCGGAAGUGAUGAGCCAUGAAAUGACUUCAUGGAUUUCUGAUGGAAACAGGAGCGAUUAACUUGAAUAUCUGCCCCUUGCUAAUGGACAAUUGAAUAAGUGAUUGACAAAAGACCCCCAGGAAUAAGGUACAAGAAUUAGCUUCUGAGAAGGAAAUCACUUCAGACAAGAAACAGCUUCUCAAAGUGAUCCAUUUGGCCAAACAUUUUGGGUCAAAGAGACUGAGAAAAAAUGAGACUGCUACCUCCAGCCACGGAGGUCAGGAUCCCCUUGAUCCGAGACCAGUAAACCAAUCCGAGGAGACUGCCACCUCCAGCCGCGGAGAUCAGCAUCCCCCUGAUCCGAGACCAGUAAACCAUUCCGAGGAGACUGUCACCUCCAGCCGUGGAGAUCAGUAUCCCCCUGUUCUGGGAACAGUAAACCAUUCCAAGGCGACUGUCACCUCCAGCCAUGGAAAUCAGGAUCCCCCUGAUCCGGGACCAGUAAACUAUUCCGAGGAGAUUGCCACCUCCAGCCACAGAGAUCAGCAUCCCUUCUGCUUUUUCCCCAUCCACUUGUCCAACCCGGGAUCUGUAAACCAUUCUCACCUGCUAUGGGUCAUAUGUCUUUUCUGUCUCUUCAACUGUUGUAUCAUGUCUAAACUGUUGCUUCUUAAUAAAAUGCUUUAAAAUUG